rnacentral:tRNA from 2 species
GGGUCCAUAGCUCAGUUGGUUAGAGCCCCCGACUCAUAAUCGGGUGGUCCCAGGUUCAAAUCCUGGUGGACCCA